rnacentral:snRNA from 1 species
AAGUGUGAGGCCACCUGGUUGUGAUGUCGGUCACCCCAUGGAGCCACAGGGUCUGCUCUGCUGAUCUGGUUGGCUGGAGAGGGUGUCCCCUUCUUGUUUCACUGCUCUCUGUAUGUUCCUUAGGAAACCACACACUUGGUCAAAGAGAAUAACCUUCCUUAAUAAACAAGGCCAAUCCUUGAUCAAAGAAAUAUGACAAGCUGGCCUCCCUGGCUAGAACCUCCAAGUAAGCUCUCGAGAGCAGAAGAUAUAACUAACUUUAGUACACAUUGUUAUCAAAGCAAAAUCUUAGAAAAUUAGUGGCUUU